AUUGAACGCUGGCGGCAUGCCUUACACAUGCAAGUCGAACGGCAGCACGGGUGCUUGCACCUGGUGGCGAGUGGCGAACGGGUGAGUAAUACAUCGGAACAUGUCCUGUAGUGGGGGAUAGCCCGGCGAAAGCCGGAUUAAUACCGCAUACGCUCUACGGAUGAAAGCGGGGGACCUUCGGGCCUCGCGCUAUAGGGUUGGCCGAUGGCUGAUUAGCUAGUUGGUGGGGUAAAGGCCUACCAAGGCGACGAUCAGUAGCUGGUCUGAGAGGACGACCAGCCACACUGGAACUGAGACACGGCCCAGACUCCUACGGGAGGCAGCAGUGGGGAAUUUUGGACAAUGGGCGAAAGCCUGAUCCAGCAAUGCCGCGUGUGUGAAGAAGGCCUUCGGGUUGUAAAGCACUUUUGUCCGGAAAGAAAUCCUUGGCCCUAAUACGGUCGGGGGAUGACGGUACCGGAAGAAUAAGCACCGGCUAACUACGUG
rnacentral:rRNA from 1 species